GUGUGGCUGGGAGAAAAUGUAAGCAGGAAGUGAAGCAGCUGGAUCUCUGCACGCAACAAGACGCUCACCACAACGCCAAGGAGAAGGCCACAAAUUGGUUGUGCUUGCACAUUUAAUGCUGCCGAGAAGCUACACAUAUUUGGCAUUCGCGGCCGAGCCGCUCACCAUCAUGGAGUUGGAUCACACUAGACCUCAAUGGCAUGCUCUGCCAUGUGGCCUCCUUGAUGCUGGUCGUCGAGCGCUGAUUCGACUAGACUAUCGCGCACAUAUUGAUCACAUUUGAUAAACAAGCUAUGAUCGUUGGAGAGUACCCCUCAGAUAUAUAGGUUAAUUUGACUCGAUUUUGCAGGUGCUUUGAUCUGAAGGAUUGGUUUGUGAUACGUCAUUGAUUCAUCGUUGACACAAAUAUGAAAGCACACUAGAAAGAUAAACAUAGGAGAUCAUAGCUGAAGGGUGGGUUUCCAACGACGGUGGUGUGCUGCCUUUCUUCCAGUGCCGACAAGAUGGCUAGUUUGUCGCCCCGUAACCCUGGUGGUGGGCUCCCAUGACUGCCUCCUGGGUUACCUACCACUUAGCAUUAAUCCAUCAAGGGGCAUGGGCAAUUUCCUUGUUCUAUUUCUUACUGAAUCCGGUUCCAUCAAAGAUGCCGACAACUUUGCAGUCGUCCACCUCACCAUUGCCGGCAAUUGCUCCCUGCAG